rnacentral:rRNA from 1 species
AGUCGAACGGUAGCAGGAAGUGCUUGCACUUUGCUGACGAGUGGCGGACGGGUGAGUAAUGCUUGGGAACUUGCCUUUGCGAGGGGGAUAACAGUUGGAAACGACUGCUAAUACCGCAUAAUGUCUACGGACCAAACGGGGCUUAGGCUUCGGCGCAGAGAGAGGCCCAAGUGAGAUUAGCUAGUUGGUGGGGUAAAGGCUCACCAAGGCGACGAUCUCUAGCUGUUCUGAGAGGAAGAUCAGCCACACUGGGACUGAGACACGGCCCAGACUCCUACGGGAGGCAGCAGUGGGGAAUAUUGCACAAUGGGGGGAACCCUGAUGCAGCCAUGCCGCGUGUGUGAAGAAGGCCUUCGGGUUGUAAAGCACUUUCAGUUGUGAGGAAAAGUGAGUAGUUAAUACCUGCUCACCGUGACGUUAACAACAGAAGAAGCACCGGCUAACUCCGUGCCAGCAGCCGCGGUAAUACGGAGGGUGCGAGCGUUAAUCGGAAUUACUGGGCGUAAAGCGCACGCAGGCGGUUUGUUAAGCUAGAUGUGAAAGCCCCGAGCUCAACUUGGGAUGGUCAUUUAGAACUGGCAGACUAGAGUCUUGGAGAGGGGAGUGGAAUUCCAGGUGUAGCGGUGAAAUGCGUAGAUAUCUGGAGGAACAUCAGUGGCGAAGGCGACUCCCUGGCCAAAGACUGACGCUCAUGUGCGAAAGUGUGGGUAGCGAACAGGAUUAGAUACCCUGGUAGUCCACACCGUAAACGCUGUCUACUAGCUGUUUGUGGCUUUAAGCCGUGAGUAGCGAAGCUAACGCGAUAAGUAGACCGCCUGGGG